rnacentral:rRNA from 1 species
ACGUAGGGGGCGAGCGUUGUCCGGAAUCAUUGGGCGUAAAGGGCGUGUAGGCGGUUUUGUAAGUCAGAUGUGAAAACUUGAGGCUCAACUUCAAGCCUGCAUCUGAAACUACAUCACUUGAGGGCAGGAGAGGAAAGUGGAAUUCCAUGUGUAGCGGUGAAAUGCGUAGAUAUAUGGAAGAACACCAGUGGCGAAGGCGACUUUCUGGACUGAACCUGACGCUGAGGCGCGAAAGCCAGGGGAGCGAACGG